GUUUCAAGAGUACGUGAAACCGUUUAGGGGUAAACCUGAGAAACCCGAAAGGUCGAAGGGAGAAAUUCAUUCGCGUUUCGACGUCGGCGUCGGGUGGAUUUUCGAGCGACGGAACGUGCGCCGCGCCCGUUCUUCGCGGAACGUGCGCUCGCGCCCGAUUUCGCGCCGUCCAUCCUUCGAACCGGCGACGAACGCGUGCACUUUUCUCCUGGUAGGACGUCGCGAUCCGUCGGGCGUCGGUCUACGACUUGCGGUGGAGACCGUCCGUCGUCGUUAACGCGGCGCGCACGGACGGACCCGCUCGUUCCGGCCGACUCGCUCGACGGUAAGCUUCGAGGUCGGAGGCCGCUUUUAAUAAUUGACGAGCGUUCGACUCGUCGCAAGCGCGCCACGUGCGACGGUACGCGGACCUAGUGCCGCGUCCGUCCUCUGGCGACUGUUGGCGACGAAGUUCUCGGACAGACCUCUUUCUCGAAUUUCAUUCGAGAGAAGACCGAUCUGCGACGCUAUAGCUUUGGGUACUUUCAGGACCCGUCUUGAAACACGGACCAAGGAGUCUAGCAUGUGCGCGAGUCAUUGGGAAUCGAACUAAACCUAAAGGCGUAAUGAAAGUGAAGGUCUUCCUCGCGGAGACCGAGGGAAGACGGACGAACGAACAAGCGUUAAAACUGUCGUCGUCCUGCAUUCCCGGGGCGUCUCGUUCGCAUCGCGCGAAGAGGCGCACCAAGAGCGUACACGCUGGGACCCGAAAGAUGGUGAACUAUGCCUGGUCAGGACGAAGUCAGGGGAAACCCUGAUGGAGGUCCGUAGCGAUUCU
rnacentral:rRNA from 1 species